CUAUUAGUUGACUGCAAAGACGCCAACAUUGUGGGGCGGUUGAUGUGUCCAGUCAAUGUUUUUUAGCACUUUCUCCCAGUGGGUAAGAGGUGAUACUUUACCUCAACCAUUUUUUGGACCCAAACCGAACAUUUAUAACGAAAAGCAGAACUGAUUGUUCUUAAUCUAUAGUCUAAUAAAAGAGCGAGACGGAGAGGAAAGAGACCAUCUCCAGCUAUGUUGAGGAGGCUCUUAUUUGCCGGUUUUGCAGACAUUUUUCUACUUCUGUUACUCCCAACAACUUGCAAAGCCAAGCUGAAUCAUCAUCUCUGUCACUCUUCUUGUGGGAAUAUUCCGGAUAUAAGCUACCCUUUCCGACUGAA
rnacentral:lncRNA from 1 species